CGACCUGGGUCACGGGAGAUUCAGUUUGGACUAGGUACUUGGUAGUGAUUUGUUCUUUUGUGCUUCUUUACAGACACAGAGCAACUCCUGAGCUACCAGCUUCUCUGAUAGUGACCUGGGACCAGACUGUGGACAGACAAACUCGUGACAACAAGUGAAAGAUGACCUAAGAAAACUACCAGCGAUACGGUGCUCACUUUCCCCAGCUGUUAUUUAGUGAUGCCAUUGCUCAUGAUCUAUCAGGCUGGGAUCCUCCAUCCAUCUGCUGACAUUCAAAAGGGUACUCUUCUGAAAGAAUGUUUUUUUCUCAUAGCCAACUGUGAACAACUUCACUUGAAUACAGCAAACGGGGAAAGAUGCUCUCUCUGGACACAGAAGGGAAUAGUUUCAGUAGCCUGCAAAAUUAUGUGUUAUUAGCAUUUCAAAGGCUCUGAAUGCAGAGUUGAUGGCAAGAUGUGAAUGCUGGAGGAAGAAACAACCCAUGUGGAAUUGUAAAUGUUUCAUCUGUGGAUAACAGUAGCAAUUUUGCGGUGCUUGGGGACUGUCACCGAAAUGUCAGAAGCAAAGAGGAUAGCUUUACGGAGGAAUGAGAAGGUGACUUUGAAAGUGCUAAAAAUUAGUGCGUGUCUGUAUAAGUGUCCCCUUUAGAAGUUUUGAUUGGUCCUUUUUUCUCUAGUAGUCUAAAAGUCAGGACCGAUAUAUUAUGGCAGACAUAGAGCUGCCACCAAAAACAGCAGCUCCAUCUUUCCUUUUCUCCCCGAAGAUCUAGGGAUAUGCAGCAUGUGACAUGAUGACAUCACAAUGUGAGUUUUCCCACCUAUGCAAGCAGCAGCCAAUGCAUCAAGGAUUAUCCAUAGGAUCUGGCAAGCAUCUCUAGUUAUUAUGGGAAGAAAGGAGAAAGAGACACAGGACUACCAUUUUCAGCAGCAGUUCAUAUCUUCUGUAGUAUCUAGUUCCAGCCUAAGUUAUAAAACCACUUCUUGAGUAUUUGGACUGUCAGAUCUACUUGCAAAUCUCAAUGGCCCAUUUGUAGUUGAAUAUCUCAGGGCAGAAGACAGCGAUUCAGUUCUAUAGCCUCAGGCAACUUGUGUUGCUAAUCUCAUUAGUAAGAACUACAGGGAUGUGAUCUGAGUGUCCAAACCUCUCCCAAUACCUUCACUCCAUCAGGAUCAUUCUGUUUCUGCUGUCAUCAUCAGUGAGUCUAUUGGCUCAUGUACAUGACCAGAUGUCCUCAGUGGUUCAGGAAUGAAUGUGGUAGAAAUUUGGUUGCUUGUACACUUCCACAAGAAUAAAUGAGGGGAAUAUGCAUAAAUGCAAGUGUGUAGUUUGUCUCUAAUUGGGCUAGCCAUCCUUAAUUCUAAACAAACAAAAUGCCCAGAUUAAUGAUAUCCAGAUGUUCA